GUCCAGACUCCUACGGGAGGCAGCAGUGGGGAAUAUUGCACAAUGGGGGAAACCCUGAUGCAGCGACGCCGCGUGAGCGAUGAAGUAUUUCGGUAUGUAAAGCUCUAUCAGCAGGGAAGAAAGUGACGGUACCUGACUAAGAAGCCCCGGCUAACUACGUGCCAGCAGCCGCGGUAAUACGUAGGGGGCAAGCGUUAUCCGGAUUUACUGGGUGUAAAGGGAGCGUAGACGGUCCUGCAAGCCAGAUGUGAAAGCCCGGGGCUCAACCCCGGGACUGCAUUUGAAACUGUCAGGCUGGAGUGCAGGAGAGGUAAGUGGAAUUCCUAGUGUAGCGGUGAAAUGCGUAGAUAUUAGGAGGAACACCAGUGGCGAAGGCGGCUUACUGGACUGUAACUGACGUUGAGGCUCAAAAGCGUGGGGAGCAAACAGGAUUAGAUACCCCAGUA
rnacentral:rRNA from 1 species